rnacentral:lncRNA from 13 species
AUGGUGAGAUGCUUGAUACAUGGGCCAAUGGCCUUGUGGUCAUGUCAGAGAUGCUUGAUACAUGGGCCAAUGGCCUUGUGGUCAUGUCAGAGAUGCUUGAUACAUGGGCCAAUGGCCUUGUGGUCAGGUCAGAGACGUUUGAUACAUGGGCCAAUGGCCUUGUGGUCAGGUCAGAGAUGUUGGAUACAUGGGCCAAUGGCCUUGUGGUCCGGUCAGAGAUGUUAUUUCGUGUCUACAUGUUUUGUAUCACUCACCGCUGUGAAAGAUGUGACUUGGAGGCUUCCUGAUAUCCGACAGGAUCACGUUGUUGUUUCCGAACCGCUUCCUGUGAAACAGGAUGUUACAUUUAAACACAGGAAGAUGAAGCUCGACUAAACCCCCCCCCCCCCUUAAGGCUACAUUUCAAUGGUUGGUUGUUGAGUACAGGGUUGCCACAAGUGCUAUGAAUAAUGUUCCCUCGUUUUUUUUUGGCACAGAGCAAAUAUCAGGUCUGCUGAGGGCAAACAUGAAUGUUGUUCAAAUUCAGUGCAACUUCCAGCGUGCCUUUAAUGUGAACACUGAGGUUGUAUCCACUUUAAGUUACACUUUUAACUAGGCAUGCACGAUAUAUAUAUACAAAAAUAAAAAAUAAACAAUUAAAAAUGUAAAAAAAUAAUUAAAAAAACAAAUAAUAAUAAAUAAUUACAAUUUAAAAAAAUACAAAUAAUAAUAAAAAAAAAGAAAUCGGUGAACAUAUCGGAAUCGGACGAUAUUAGCUAAAAAAUGCGAACACCGGUGUCGGCACGAUGUCAAAGCGUAAUGACGUCAUGUGAUAUUUUACACCACACGUGCAACACAGCGUUCCUAACCUGCGCCCACAAUGUCUGCUGCGUGGAUCGAGCAGUCAACAAGUCCAGCAGUCAUUUGAAAAAGAGUAAGAACAUUUCGGCGAGACGACUCAAAAAAAUAGCGAAAUCCAAUUAACGCCAAGAUAAUGGAAUUCAUUGCCCUUGACAAUCAACCGUUCUCUGUCGUGGGUGAUGUUGGCUUUUCGCCGACUGGUCGAGCACCGGUACACACUACCAAGUGGGCUAUUUUUCAGAUGUUGCCCUACAGGAGUUACACAGUAAUAGCGCCACUGCUUUUAGCUUCACGACGCACUAUGGAACGCCGUUUGGGUCUUUGCGCGUCUUAAAAGAGACGUCAAAUAACACUAUUUGAUGCGUUAAAUAAGCUUUUAAAAGUCAAAAAACACUAUUUAUAUAAUAAUAAUAAUAAUAAUAAUAAUAAAUAAGCUUUUAAAAAAGUUUAAAAAAACAGUUCCUUUAUAUAAUGUUGUGUGUUCUAAAUUUGCACGUGCAAGCCAAGCGCCACCACUACUAUCAGUAGCACUGUCAAAGCUGUACAAGAAAAGUCUGCAAACAAGCACACACCGGCCACGAACGAUGUGUUUACAAUACCGCGUUGGUAAUAAAGCCUCAUUUGUUCGACAGCAACUUCUAGGGUAGCUAGCUUUAGCUUGGUACCUAGCUAGCACCAAUACAACCAUUCCUGAAAACAAUGACCGGUAGAACCUGCAGUCAUUUUCACUAUUCUUAGCAAUGAUUUAGGAAUCCUUGUGAGUAAGUAUUAGCUAGGUAGUCACUUGUGGUUCGCCUACUGAAAUUGAACUUCAGUUCAUGAAAAUAAAUAGCUAGCCAGCUACUUAACCCUGUUGCCCAAAGUUAACGUUAUAAGCAGCCAGCUAGCUUCAUCUGGCUAGUGAGGCUCGACCUGACCGGGUUAUGUGUUGUGAAGCUAGCCACAAUAAGGAUUAGGCACAAUUGUGGAAUUUGCGGUUUGCCUUCACAUAGAUGGGUCCCAACCACCAAUAAUCAAAAUAAGAACUGUCUUAUAAAUUAGGCCGUCAUUGUAAAUAAGAAUUUGCUCUUAACUGACUUGCCUAGUUAACUAAAGGUUAAAUAAAGGGCAUGCAGCGCUUGCUUUGAUCUCAAAACAACCUGCAUCUACUCAUGACCACUCAUGCUGUAAACACGGUCCAGUUCAAAGUAAAUGUGUAGAAUACAGGUUGAGUCGUGCGCAAAUAGAAUCCUACUCCGAUGCAUUCUGCCUAGUUCAUUUUGUUUCGGGUAUGUUGCAUUGAAAGUGGCUAAUAUAUUGGCGUUUGAUCACAAUUGCCACAGUAAAAGUGAAACGUUGACAGUGUUAACUAAACAGGGGAAACCUCAAGAACAGUUGAAUGAAGUUUAAUCUCCUGCUUUUUCUCCUUGGGCUGAUAGUGCCUCUGUGCAGCUUAGAGGAAACAUUGGCACUGAAGCCUUUCUGUAUGCUAUAUAAAGCUUUUUUGCAAAUUGUUGUUUGUUUUAAGUGGUACCUAGAUUAUAUAGUGUUGGGGAUGCCACUCUGAAAAUAUAGCUUACCAAGCUACCAAUUACUUCACACUGGAAGAAGUUAAGCUACACGUAAGAAAAAUAUAGUUUUCUUUACAGAAGUUACUUUUGAAAAAGUAGUUCACUCCACCCAAACUACUCAAUGAAAAAGUAUCAUGUGUAAACAUCUGAAAUGUCAGAGUACAAAUUGGUAGAACGGACGGAUCACUCUGGAGUCAAGAUGUCGAACAUACUUGUCAUUUUAAACCACAAAAAAGUGAGAAUUAGGCAGAUCUGAUGCUGAAAAAGAAAGGAUAUUCUAGCCUAGCAGUAGUGUGUAGUUCCAUUAGUUAGCUACACCGCUACAUGGUAAAACAGUAGUGUGUAGUUCCAGUAGUUAGCUACACCGCUACAUGGUAAAACAGUAGUGUGUAGUUCCAGUAGUUAGCUACACCGCUACAUGNNNNNNNNNNAUUCUCGGUUAACAGGGCUCGAGACAGUAUUCUUGGUUAACAGGGCUCUAGACAGUAUUCUCGGUUAACAGGGCUCUAGACCGUAUUCUCAGUUAACAGGGCUCGAGACAGUAUUCUCGGUUAACAGGGCUCUAGACAGUAUUCUCGGUUAACAGGGCUCUAGACCGUAUUCUCGGUUAACAGGGCUCUAGACAGUAUUCUCGGUUAACAGGGCUCGAGACAGUAUUCUCGGUUAACAGGGCUCUAGACCGUAUUCUCGGUUAACAGGGCUCUGGACCGUUUAUAUGUAAAUAGGUCAGUUAGACUUGGUUGGCAUUCGUCACUGCAGUACUGGCCAGCCAAUCACCAUUCAUCAGGUAUUGAUCAUG